GACGAACGCUGGCGGCGUGCUUAACACAUGCAAGUCGAACGGAAAGGCCCUGCUUUUGUGGGGUGCUCGAGUGGCGAACGGGUGAGUAACACGUGAGUAACCUGCCCUUGACUUUGGGAUAACUUCAGGAAACUGGGGCUAACACCGGAUAGGAGCUCCUGCUGCAUGGCGGGGGUCGGAAAGUUUCGGCGGUUGGGGAUGGACUCGCGGCUUACCAGCCUGCUGGGGGGGUAGUGGCUUACCAAGGCUUCGACCGGUAGCCGGCCUGAGAGGGUGACCGGCCACGUUGGGACUGAGAUACGGCCCAGACUCCUACGGGAGGCAGCGGUGGGGAAUAUUGCACAGUGGGCGGAAGCCUGGUGCGGCAACGCCGCGUGCGGGGUGACGGCCUUCGGGUUGUAAACCGCUUUCGCCUGUGACGAAGCGUGAGUGGCGGUAAUGGGUGAAGAAGCACCGGCUAACUACGUG
rnacentral:rRNA from 1 species